AUUGAACGCUGGCGGCAUGCCUUACACAUGCAAGUCGAACGGUAGCAGGUUAAGCUGACGAGUGGCGAACGGGUGAGUAAUGUAUCGGAACGUGCCCAGUCGUGGGGGAUAACUACUCGAAAGAAUGGCUAAUACCGCAUACGACCUGAGGGUGAAAGCGGGGGACCGUAAGGCCUCGCGCGAUUGGAGCGGCCGAUAUCAGAUUAGCUAGUUGGUGGGGUAAAAGCCCACCAAGGCGACGAUCUGUAACUGGUCUGAGAGGACGACCAGCCACACUGGGACUGAGACACGGCCCAGACUCAUACGGGAGGCAGCAGUGAGGAAUAUUGGACAAUGGACGCAAGUCUGAACCAGCCAUGCCGCGUGCGGGAAGAAGGCCUUCGGGUUGUAAACCGCUUUUGUCAGGGAAGAAACGAGUUUCUCUAAUACAGAGACUUAAUGACGGUACCUGAAGAAUAAGCACCGGCUAACUACGUGCCAGCCGCCGCAGUAAGAC
rnacentral:rRNA from 1 species